GUUAGUGUUAGUGCUGGGCAGUGCUGGGAGCUCUGUGUGUGUCUGUGGGACCCUCAGUGACCUUUAAUAGCAGGCAGGCUUUUGGGGCCUAAAGGGAGAGAAGUGUGAGCCAUUGGGGCUUGCUGUGACUUAAUACAAUACACAGGGCAGUGCUGGGAGCUCUGUGUAUGUCUGUGGGACCCUCAGUGACCUCCAAUAGCAGGCAGGCUUCUGGGGCCUAAAGGGGGACGAGUGUGAGCCAUUGGGCCUUGCUGUGACUUAAUACAAUACACAGGGCAGUGCUGGGAGCUCUGUGUGUGUCUGUGUGACCCUCAGUGACCUUUAACAGAGAGCAGGCUUAUGAGGCCUACCUGGGAGGUGUCUGUGCCUCUGGGCCUGUCAGUGACUUAAUACAAUACACAGGGCAGUGUUUGGUGCUCUGUGUGUGUCUGUGUGACCCUCAGUGACCUUUAAUAGACAGCAGGCUUAUGAGGCCUACCUGGGGAGGUGUCUGUGCCUCGGUCUUGUACUGGAGGCCGUGGAGAGUGGGGGCCCUCUGGGCGCCAGGCCAGCCCGGGCAUGUGUGCCCUGGGCUGGAAAUAAAUAAAUUGUAUUUAUUUCUUCACUACCACAGAGACCACUGUUCAACCAAGCAAGGAGGUGGACGCCGCUGAUGACUUUACAUUCAGUACAUUGUCAGACUUGGACAUGGCCGAUUUGGGUGUUGCUCCAUUGUCUGCCUCAGCACUUCCAACCUCACCUGCACCUCAAACAUAUUCCAUCAUAUUCGACAACCUGGACUUUUACGUUCAGACGCAUCAUCAGUCCACCAGCCAGACCAACAAGUCAAUUCACUGGAUCCACCACAUGUGUGUCAUCAACAGAAUCAACUCACUACACCUUGACAAGUUGAAACCGACAAAUUCUUUGAUUGACUAUGAUCUCGGGAAUUCACUUCCUGGACCAGACACACAAGCCAGUAUGCGUCAGGAAUUCGUUGUUUUGGGGAGCCGAAUCCUGACAGCUUAUUUGGAAUCAUUCAAGACCCUCUCCAGUGUGGUUGUUCAACAUAUCCCCCACCAGUUCUCUGAAGAAAUGGCCCAGCCAUCCACUCAUUAUCCACUUGGACUUCUAUUCAAGGACGAAACACAAACUGCCGACCUGGUGGAUGUGCUCCAGCACCUUCAAAAGGAGUAUGUGCCAAGAUGUCCUGAUGGGCUUGAAAAGAUUUUGAUCGGGGGUGACAGACUGACAGAGGCCAAUUCCCGGAAUAUCCAGUUGGCGUUUGCUGAUGGGGAGACGGAGGAGGACCGCCUGGAAGGCCUCUGUGUCAAAUAUGAAGACUGGCACGCAAUUCGAAAACUCUUUGAGAUAUAUCAUCAGAUCUUCUUUAGUGAAGAAUCUGCCAAAGACCAUGGCACACAACGCCAACAUGAAUCUCUUGAGAGUAUCUUCGCCAACCAUGAAGUUGGCGUGGACUUAUGAACUGUGUGCAUGUUACCAAGAAAGCACAGCCACCAUGAAUUCGGCUGCUUUCCAUUGGGGAUUUAAGGGAAAAGUGGGUCAUUGGUACCAGUGUUGGGAGUAACGCGUUACAAAAGUAACGCGUUACUCCCAACAAAAAAAGGUAAUAUUUUACUUGGCUAACCCUAACCCGACUAACCCAGAAAUACGUUUUAAACCCGAAAUUAACUUGUGUGUUUUUAUACAAAUUCGCCAACACUGCGAGAUUCACAGAGGAGAAAAAAAUCCAGUCCAGGGAGGCUGGUUGUAGUCUUUUAGCUUGGUUCUCCAUAUCAACAGUAGGGCUAGAACAGAGCGAAAAGACUACAACCUGGUUGUAGUAGAAAAGGGGGCUCAAUGUGUUUUGUUUUUUUCCAUCUUCCCUAGUAGGCUCUAGCUCUAUUGAUUUAUAUGAAUACCUAAAGUUACAAUAUUUCUAUUAUGAAAUGUAUUGUACCAUGAGCCAUAACUGCGACCAUUAUAUUGUACUUUUGUUAGCCUUAAGCCUAGCUCAGUCAUUAUGCCAUACCACAUCACCUCCUGCUGUGCAAUGAGCUGCAUUGAACACAGGAAGAUCUAUUGAGAACAACAAAUCCAUAUUUCCUUCCUUUAGUUAUUUUGGUAAAAGUAGUGUAAUGCCGUACAAUUCAAAGACAGUAAUAUUGCAAUGUAACUAAUUACUUUGAAAUGACAGUAACAAGUAAUAAAUAAUGCAUUACUCUUUUGAAGUAACUUGCCCAACACUGAUUGGUACUACUAACAAACACACACCAUCAUGAAUUUAUGAACUAUGAAUAUAAUCUCACAAGCAGAUGUUUUAUGCAGCCAUUUAAAUAACUGCUAUGUGAUUUACUGGUGCAGCAAUGCGAAGAAAGGCCCACAUGCUGCGUACAACGCUUACAAACAGUUUGUGCAGAUUGACACGACAGCACUUUUCCUUGUGGCAGCAAUGGAACAUUUUCAUUUGGAUGAUGUCACAGCUACUCCAGACGGCUUAGUACCAGACCACAUCCAGCAAGGCUCUGCAGAACAGAAGAGGACCUGGCUCCAUGACUCUGUGGCAGAGGUCGUUGACAAGUUUUUAAUGUCUACAGACAUUGCUGACCUGACAGCUGGCGUUACUGAAGCGGCAACAGCCCAACGCACUGAGAAGGAGAAGCUCCCUUGUCGUGAGCCAGGUUGCAAGAAAGUUUUCAUUUAUCGAAAAGCCAGAGAGACCCACGAAGAGAAAGUCCACAGUUUUGUGGUGGCAUCUAUGCCAGUUGUUGAGCCGGCUUCCUCUGGUCUGAUUGACCACAAAAAACAGCAUACUGAGGCCAGGCUUAGCUUUGGAUUUCUGCUAUUCGAUAUGUUGGAUGCAGUGAAAGAGGGAGAUGGGGAGCGCUUGAUAAGGCUGUACAAGGUGGCACUACUGAUUUACAAGGCUUACGGGCACACUAAUUAUGCCUACAGCACUUUCCUCUUGACUGUACAAAUCAAUGCAACAAUGUCCCCUUAGGGUUAAACAUGAUGUAACCUGGAACCGAUUCUGGAAUAGUAGCGGCGGGAAAGGGAAAAAUGUUCCUCUUGAUCUGCACCUCGAGCACCUCAACAACUUCCUGAAAUCUUUUUUGAGGAAUAAAGGCACCAACCUGGCAGAGAAAACAGCUGACAGGGUCAGCAGGUCUGUUGGUUUAUUAAAGACCCUGAUGGAUACAACAGACGGAGAGCUGCAGCUAUCCCGGCCCAGUGGCAUCCACCAUGCAGAUCUAAAAAACAACAUUUUAAUGGUGCUUCAGGUAUUAAGGAACACUGAGGUUUUCAACCAGCAACCGGGAAGACACUUCUCUGCAUUCCCUAAAUUUAACAAACAUUCUGUCCAAGCUAAACUAUAAUGACGUGUGGCGAUGGAUGCGUUGCAGGCUGAAAGACUGGAGGACUGUUGUUCUUUAAUCAAUUACCUACCUGGUCUGUAAUGGUCCUAGCCUUGUCCUGCCAGACUAUUUCAUUUGAAGCUGUUAUAGAAGGCCUAUUUGUAUGAAUGUGUAAAUAGUUCAUAUUGUUAUGCAAGUACUUUUUGGUUGAAUUAGUAAAAAAAAAAAACACUUUUUCAUAGUACGUCUCGUUUCUAUUAUAACUUAAUUAGGGUCUUACAAGUAUGUGUUUUGUACACUUUUAUUUAGUUUUGUAGAAUUGCACAAAUACCAACCAAACACAUACAAAACAAUAUACAACUGACACCAAUCAUGUUCCUGCACAAGUACACAAAGGGGUUUGAAGUGUUCUGUACAUCACAAGCAUCACAGAAUUCACUGUUCAGACUCAGAGCUACUGACAUGGCUCGUGAGUGUAUCUUCAACAUCAUCAUCAACAUUGUCGAAGUAGUUACUGAAAUAGAGAUCUGGGUCAGUUAAAUACCUCUCUGAAUCAUAUUGCAGAUCCCCAUCAAUAUCCCCAAAAACAUCACUGAUGAUAAUUAAAAUCUCCUUUGCAUGGUCCAAUCUAAACACAGGAAGGUUAGCACUAAUGUAUGCCAGGUCAAAUAUGUAUUGACAGUGGGUCAAUACUGCAUCCACCAGUUGCUGACUGAAUCCAGUGCAGGCUGCAUGUGAGGUGUACAGUGGAUUGGAUGAAUUGAUCAAACUAUCUCUGUAGUCAUUCAGCAAAUCUGCAAUUAAAGACUUGUCAUUUGCAUCCACAUGCCUAGAUCUCUGAUGAGUUGGUUCAGCUUCAAUCUGUUCAUAAUUGGGCAUGGGUUCUGUACAUGUGCCAGAUGAACAAGCGCAAACAGUCUGACAGUAUGUACAACAGAGAUGGCCUGGCUCUACAUGGCUGGGUUCUGCUUCAAAAUGUGCAUGGAGAGAUUUCCUGAAACAUGUGGUUUUUCCAACAGCAAGCAGUUUCUUUACCUCUUCAUCCACCUUGAAGUACUGCCCGGUGUUGUAGAGGAUGGCAUGUGAUGGCUGACCAUGCCUUCCAGCCCUGCCCGCCUGUUGUAAAAUGGCCUCUAGGUCACCUGGAGCCCCGUACAUUACCACGUGUGAAACAUUAGCAAAAUGCAACCCCAUCCCCAAAGCUGUUG